AUUGUGCCAGCGGCCGCGGUAAUACGGAGGAUGCGAGCGUUAUCCGGAUUUAUUGGGUUUAAAGGGUGCGUAGGCGGAUUAAUAAGUCAGUGGUGAAAACCUUCAGCUUAACUGGAGAACUGCCAUUGAUACUGUUAGUCUUGAGUACGGUCAAGGUAGGCGGAAUGUGUAAUGUAGCGGUGAAAUGCUUAGAUAUUACACAGAACACCGAUUGCGAAGGCAGCUUACUGGGCCAUUACUGACGCUGAUGCACGAAAGCGUGGGGAGCGAACAGGAUUAGAUACCCUGGUAGUCCACGCCGUAAACGAUGAUCACUCGCUGUUGGCGAUACACAGUCAGCGGCUAAGCAAAAGCAUUAAGUGAUCCACCUGGGGAGUACGGCCGCAAGGCUGAAACUCAAAGGAAUUGACGGGGGCCCGCACAAGCGGAGGAACAUGUGGUUUAAUUCGAUGAUACGCGAGGAACCUUACCUGGGCUUAAAUGUAGAGUGCAUGGGGUAGAAAUAUCCCUUUCCUUCGGGACUCUUUACAAGGUGCUGCAUGGUUGUCGUCAGCUCGUGCCGUGAGGUGUCGGGUUAAGUCCCAUAACGAGCGCAACCCUUAUCGUUAGUUGCCAGCGGGUAAUGCCGGGAACUCUAACGAAACUGCCGGUGUAAACCGUGAGGAAGGUGGGGAUGACGUCAAAUCAGCACGGCCCUUAUGUCCAGGGCUACACACGUGUUACAAUGGCCGGUACAGAGGGCAGCUACCUGGAGACAGGAUGCGAAUCUCGAAAGCCGGUCUCAGUUCGGAUCGGAGUCUGCAACUCGACUCCGUGAAGCUGGAUUCGCUAGUAAUCGCGCAUCAGCCAUGGCGCGGUGAAUACGUUCCCGGGCCUUGUACACACCGCCCGUCAAGCCAUGGAAGUUGGGGGUACCUGAAGUCCGUAACCGUAAGGAGCGGCCUAGGGUAAAACUAGUGACUGGGGCUAAGUCGUAACAAGGUAACCAAU
rnacentral:rRNA from 1 species